UCAAAUGCUUUGCGUUUUGUUUUUUUUAGAAUCUAAUCUUAUAAAUUAUAUGUAUAUAGUAAAAUAUCCUUAAGAAAAUUUAUGGUUCUAACUUAUCUUUAAGAAAUUCACAAGUACAUUUUAGUUAAAUGUUGAUUUGCAUCUCUAGCUAGAGAUUACUAUCAGAUGAUCGUGUUGUUACCGAGUUGCAUAAUCGUUUCUAGGAAAAAUAAUCUGUCAACUUUUGAGGUUAGCGACUGUAUACUGAAUUCCGGGAAAAUAUAAAAAACCCGUUCAGUUAUCAUACAAUCUAUGUCAAAAAGAUUGUUUGUUUUUGGCGGUAGCUGAGUAUUGAAGCCGAUCCUGAGAUCGACCCAAUCUUUUAUUGAAAAAUAUUUUCCCUUGACCACCUAGAAAAUAUAUGUAUAUGUAUAUCUGUUUUAGGAAGUUAACAAACGUCGUAUUCAUCACGUUCGUCGUGUUGUUAUUGCUUCGUAUGUAAAGAUUUCAAGUAUCACACCUUUAAGAGCCUGUUAUUUGUUUGUGGUAUCAAGGAAUUAUGUUGUAUGAUUUCUUUAUGGUCUUAAAUUAAAAUAAAAAAAUUGUAAAUACCAUAAUCGGUUCCAUGUGUGGCUUUAUAACUGUGUUAUUAUAAUUCGUUGUCGUAGGAAUAUGAUGAAUACGAUUGAUACAUAUGAUACAAAUACAAUUUAUCAGAGCUUAAAAUUUUAAGCGAGGAAGCCUGUUAGUAUUAUAUACUGUAAUUAAUUCCAAAUAUUAAAUAUGGACGCGGGCGCCUUAUUUUUGCGACCCACUCGCAUUACUCUUGAAAGGAAACCCGGUCCUUACCUUGGCACAAGAGGAAAAAAAUUCUGAAAACGCAAAUAGCUUAUGGCUUAUAUAAGAAAAAUAUACUAUGACUGCUGCAACCCUUACUUGAUGAUGUACUUGUAGAACAGCGAAAAUAACACUCUUCGUACAAAACGAAAAAGUUAAAGAAAAGUACUUUUUAAAAAAGAAUAUACUUACUAGUUUUUAUGCAAAAAGUUACAUACUCUUAUUAAAAUUUUUUUAAUAGUGUUAUUUUCGCUGCAACAUGUUUUGAUGGUUACAGUUAAAAACUAGUUAUAGACAGAAAAUAAAGACUUGUCGAAUUCUCGGAUGUUUUCUAGGUAGGAAAGUACGAAUACGCAGCCAAGGUGGGGGUAGGGAUUGCUGAAAUGAUUUUUAUGUUUUGUUUUGUUUUGUUUACCUAUAUCUAUUGGAGUUUCUAUUUGUAAUAGUAAAAAUUUGCUAAAAAUGUAAUUUAAAGAUUGCGCUUUAUACGAAGAAAGUGUGACGGGGAGUUUAUCCAAGUGGAUUUUCUUGGAUUGCAGUUUUCACGCAACGAUGCAACUCAAUGUUUUAUUUAACGUCUACUUUUUCAUGUUUUUGAAACACGUUUUUUCCUAUAAAUUGAAAUAUGUUUUAGUUUAUAUUAACAGUCGAGCUCUGAUAAAUUUUUGUAUGAUGCGCAUGUAUGUAGGUAGAUAUUAACUCUUAUUAUUUCCCACAACUCAAUGAUCGCUCUUUUGAUCGCAUUUAUUGUCGAAUUUCUUUAAAUAUGUUGGACACAAGUAUGCUUGUAUGCAAAAACCAUGAUAUAGUGCAAUGCUUUUUAAAGAAUAAAUUGUAUUUAUUUAGUUUGUAUGAAACAGUAUGAAUUGUGCCAUUAAAAUUGUAAUAUAAUUGUAAAACUGCAUUUUACAUUAAGAGAUUGUCUCAAAUAAAACCUGAGACAAUAACUGUUUGUUUGUAAAUAUGCAAUUCGUAACAAAUUAAAAAAAAAAAACUAUGUAUUAUCAGACAAAUUAUUAAUUAUUCGAGUGCAAGUACAUGCAAUCUUAAUUGUGUAUAUCUAUUUCUGAAUUAUUAAAACUAAAACUUGCAUUUGGUGCUAGUAAAGCACACAAUGGCUUUAAUAGGCUGAUUUUUUUUUUUACAAAAAUUACUGAUUAUCUGCGAUAUUGCAAUUGGGUGAAAUUCGGCACAAAGAUAGCACUAAUUGCUAGAAAUCGACCAUAAAUAAAGAAAUAUUUAUGUGAACAAACCGUCGAAUGGGGUCAAUAUUUCAUAAGAUGGCUUUACUUAAUCAAUUGGCAGUUUUCGCAUGAAAUUAAAACAUGUCUAAAAUUUAAACCACAUCGAAGACCAUCGCACAGAAGCAUUUCAUCUUUAAUAUGGAAUGACUGCAUAGGUGUAGAUAUAAUGAUAUCGUUUUACAGUAAGAAAUAUGUAUAUUGUAUUAAGGUAAUUCUAAAACGUCAGAUUGUUGGCAUUAUUUUUCUAUUAAUAGAGGUACUCGUAUAUAUUAUUAAUAACAUUGUCAUUGGAUGAGUGCCUUAAAGAAUUCCACUUAAAAUAGAAUAAAAGCUCUGAAAGUUCUUAUAUGUGUAUAUACAAAUGUAUAUGUAUAUUAAAUUUGUUUUUAUUUAAGUGUUCUGUGAUUAUUUAACUUCUACGGAUAGAAAAUUUCGCGUACAAUAAUAUAAAACUCAAAGAAUGCUCCACCGGAGUUUAGUGUGUUUAGCAUACCAUAACGUACUUAACAGGUUUAUACACAAACUACGCUUGAUCUUCAAUUGAUAUCAUGACGAGUUUUCGAAAGCUUAAAAGUUUAAAAGCUGUAGUACAUCCAUCAUGUGCUUGUAUGUUCCUUCUUCGAUUUCGGCAAUUACACAAACAAAGUACGUGAACAAUAUUGCUACAUCAACAACAACGCGGUGGGAAUCCAGCUCCAGGUUACUCAAAAAACACAUUAGGUUUUGUUUUACCAUUCUGCUACUAACCCAUGUGACUAUGACACGGAUUAUUUUAAUAAAUUUUUUGUUAUUUUACGGCCUAUACAUAACUUAUCAGUAUGAAGAAUUGAACGAAAUUUAUUAAGUGGCCCCCAUCUGUUUGUUAUUGCCCGACCUAAAACUAUGUUUAACUAUUUUGAACUACUACUCUCUUUUUUUGUCUGUGAUGAAUGUGUGAAUUAUAGAAAAACUAAUUUGUCUCCAUAAAAAUCCAUCGGUCAAUCGGAGGCGUCUUAGAAAAAACUGUAAGCCUCUUCAAUUGCUGGUAAAAACCAUGACGGAGAUCACCAAUUAUAGAAAAUCGCUUCAUAGGUAACAAAUCGUCAACAAUAUGAAGUCAUAGAGGAGAUGUUUUUCAUUAGCGUAAGCAGACUUUCUUAGAAUACUUACAGUUAGCAGUUUUCUCACAAUCGUCGAAAUGAAAUUUCUGUUCGGCUGAAAACUCGAUAUUUAACAUAAUUUUAUGUACAUUACAAGUUUGAAACUUAUCUUUAAUUUUCCACAGUCAGCGAAUAUCGAAAAUAAAAUGUAGCUUAUAAUAGGGAUCUCAAAGAUAAAUAAAUAUUCGUUCACAUGUGAUAAUGUUAAAUAUGCAUUGAAUAUUAAAAUUUUGUUGAUUAAAAUAGCCUUUUCAAUAUAUUGUACAAUGCAAUUCGAAUAUAAAAAAAUCCGAAAUAUUUACCUCUGCAUAUAAACAUGUAAGUACAUAAAUGUAUUAUUUAAAUAAUAAAUGGAAUUUGAAAAGUACAAAACAAUACAGAUUGGCUUACUCUU
rnacentral:lncRNA from 1 species